GUAGACCAGCACCAUUGGCUUCACUGGUGAGAUCUUGAAUGAAAAGCAAAAGCUCUUGAAUCUUCCUGAUAACAUCUCCAUCUUCAAUACUCUCCGGCGGAGGAAAAAUUGGAAGCCAUCGCAGAGAAUGUCGCAGCUGCUGGAUCGCCACCGAAGAAGAAAUUUAUUGGAAAGAGGGGAGAGGAAAAAAAUGGAAGAAGAAAAGUAGAGAGGGAGACACGAAACAGAGCAACCGCCUGCUAUUCCCCGUGGUCACCGCCGGAGAGAAAACCCUAAAGAGAAGCUCGGGGAAUGCUUUUUCUCCGUGCCAUCUCCGCUGUCAUCUUCAUCUGGGUUCUCUAUGUUGGAAAAGAAUUAUUCGGGAUAUAAUCCAAAACCAUCAAUAAUGCAUUCACCGUGUUUAUGCAAUAGUGGCGCUAUCUAGAUACGUGCUCCAUGUUUUUUAAAUUUUCCAUUUUUUCUUUGUUGCCUGAUGUGGUGUUGCUUUCUAUGAGUUGACCACUUUUUAGAUCAACUUCUAAUGCAAACUCUUAAUGCUAUAAUUGUUGUGGUAUUUAGAUGAUAAGGUUGACAAAAUAGCCAUUUUAGUUGUUUUAAAAGUAAGCUAAAAAUUACUUUUAAGCAUGUCUUCUUGACUAGGAAAAGUAUUUGCAAAAAGGGCACUGAAAGAUCCAGAUUUGAGGAUGGCCUCUAUGGUGCAUAAGAUGUCAUUGGUGGAUAGAAUGCUCUUAGUAGCGGACGAUUUAUUUGAUAAAACUCCAUACAUUCACGCUGCAUGGCAUCUUGCAGCCACAAUUAGUGUCAGUACCUGCAACAAGCUCCUUGAUCUACUUGAAUUUGAAUUUGAAGGUGGUGGUUUUGAAGAAAUGAAGGGAAAAUGAGGAGCAAGCUGCUGUCUCUUAUUACAGUUCUUUGGGGACUUGUUUUUGCAUUGGAACACACAGUUAUACUACAUUUAAGGAUAUCUUGGGUAAGGUAAAUUUAUAAUCAGUAAUAUGAGUAAACAUUUUGCAUUUAUAGAGGCCAUGGCUAGCCUCUAUUGGAUUUUUGGCAUUCGGAAGUGAUAAGUCUCAGCAUUUAUUUUAGGAUGAAAAUGA